GACGAACGCUGGCGGCGUGCUUAACACAUGCAAGUCGAACGGUGAAGGGACCAGCUUGCUGGUUCUGGCUGAGUGGCGAACGGGUGAGUAACACGUGAGUAACCUGCCCCCUUCUUCUGGAUAACCGCAUGAAAGUGUGGCUAAUACGGGAUAUUCUGGGUCUGUCGCAUGGCGGGCCCGGGAAAGAUAUUGCUUCGGUGGGGGAUGGGCUCGCGGCCUAUCAGCUUGUUGGUGGGGUGAUGGCCUACCAAGGCGGUGACGGGUAGCCGGCCUGAGAGGGUGGACGGUCACACUGGGACUGAGACACGGCCCAGACUCCUACGGGAGGCAGCAGUGGGGAAUAUUGCACAAUGGGCGCAAGCCUGAUGCAGCGACGCCGCGUGAGGGAUGGAGGCCUUCGGGUUGUAAACCUCUUUCGCCAGUGAAGCAGGCCUGCUCCUUGUGGGUGGGUUGACGGUAGCUGGAGAAGAAGCGCCGGCUAACUACGUG
rnacentral:rRNA from 1 species